GUCCACGCCGUAAACGAUGAGUGCUAGGUGCUGUGGGUAUUGACCCCGCGGUGCCGCAGCUAACGCGCUAAGCACUCCGCCUGGGGAGUACGGCCGCAAGGCUAAAACUCAAAGGAAUUGACGGGGGCCCGCACAAGCGGUGGAGCAUGUGGUUCAAUUCGACGCAACGCGCAGAACCUUACCUGGGUUAAAUCCACUAGAAGCUGGCAGAGAUGCCGGGGUGCCUUUCGGGGAGCUAGUGAGAAGGUGCUGCAUGGCUGUCGU
rnacentral:rRNA from 1 species